rnacentral:rRNA from 1 species
AUACGGAGGAUCCGAGCGUUAUCCGGAUUUAUUGGGUUUAAAGGGUGCGCAGGCGGCCAUUUAAGUCAGCGGUUAAAUCGUGGGGCUCAACCCCAUUCUGCCGUUGAUACUGGGUGGCUUGAUUGCGGUCGAGGUUGGCGGAAUUCGUUGUGUAGCGGUGAAAUGCAUAGAUAUGACGAAGAACACCGAUUGCGUAGGCAGCUGACCAGACCGCAAAUGACGCUCAUGCACGAAAGUGCGGGGAUCGAACAGGAUGAGAUACCCUGGUAGUCCGCACAGUAAACGAUGAAUACUUGUUUUCGGCGAUAUAAUGUCGGAGGCAAAGCGAAAGCGAUAAGUAUUCCACCUGGGGAGUACGCCGGCAACGGUGAAACUCAAAGGAAUUGACGGGG